GGUUUUUAGUGGGGUUUUAUUAUUGAGUGGUGGAGGACCGACUGCAGACUCCUCUCCUCUCACUCGACUCCAGAGCUCUACUUUUUGUCCCGUUAAGAUCCACAGGGCACAAUCAUGGAGGAAAUGGACUUUGAGCGACGCCGAGAGCUGAGGAGGCAAAAGCGGGAGGAGAUGCGCCUGGAGGCUGAACGGAUGGCAAAAAAUGAUGAUGAUGAAGAGGAGGCUGCCCGUGAGAGGAGGCGCAGGGCACGCCAGGAGAGGCUGAAGAACAAGGAGAGCGAGGAUCACGGUGGCCAACCAGACAGUCUGGUCAUGACCAACAGCCACAGUGUGACAGAAGCUGUGUCUGUGAGCAGCUCCUAUGGGGGCGGUGGAGAUGAUGAGGACCAAGCCCUGCUGGACCGCAUGGCCAAACGCGAGGAGAGGCGGCAGAGACGUAUGAAGGAGGCGCUGGAGAGGCAGAAGGAGCUAGACCCCACUGCCACGGAGGACAACGACAGCGUCGCCAUGGAGAAAAAAAACGCAGAGGAGGAGAGGCCCUCCUCCUGGCGUAGGGGUCGUUACCGUGACAGCAUGGAUGAGGAGGAGAAGACAGCAACCUACAGCUUGACAAGAGACGAGAAGGAGCAAGAGGAGCCUAGAGAGGAAGAGGAAGCUGCUCCUGAAGGAGAGGACGAGGAAGAGGAGGAGCAGAAAGUUGAAGUGGUUGAAGACAUACCUAGAAGGUCUUACUUGAGAGAACAGGCAUCAACUGAAGAGCCUAAAAUGCAAAACGAGGACCUCGCCGAAAAGGAAACACAUUCGCUAGUCAGUGAGAGGUCAAAUCAGACCAAGUCAGCAAAUUCAGAGGAUAAAGAGGAUUCAGUAGCAUCAGGGGAGGCUGAAGAGGUGAAUGAGAGGAGCAGGGCCAGGGAGGACAGAGGGAAUCAAAGGAAGCACAACGGAGGGCUGCCCGAGGAGGCAGUUCCCAUACAGCAUAGGAAACCUGAGAGGACCCUCAGCCGCAGCAGCAUGCGUUCCCCCGAGGUGUCCGCAGGUGACGAGCAGGACGACAACGCCCGUCUGGAGGCAGAGCGCAAGCUGGAGGAGCUGAAGCGUCGCCGCGACGACGCGGAGAGCGAGGAGUUCGAGCGGAUGAGGCAGAAGCAGCAGGAGGCCGAAGCGGAGCUGGAGGAGCUGAAGAGGAAGAGGGAGGAGAGGAGGAAGGUGCUGGAGGAGGAGGAGAGACAGAGGAAGCAGGAAGAGGCGGAGAGGAAAGCCAGAGAGGAGGAGGAAAAGAGGAAGAUGAAGGAGGAGAUUGAAAGAAGGAGAGCAGAGGCUGCUGAGAAGAGACAGAAAGUGGAAGACACUGUGGACGGGGAGGACAAACCCUUCAAGUGUGUUAGCCCUCGAGGCUCCUCUCUGAAGAUUGGAGAGCGAGCAGAAUUUCUGAAUAAGUCGACCCAGAAAAGCCCAGCAAAAGCGUCUCAUUCUCCUGUGGUGUCCAAGAUAGACAACAGGCUGGAGCAGUACACCUCAGCUGCUCAGAGAGAGAACAAGGAGUCUCGAUCCCCUCGCUCUGGAGCGGUGGAUCUUCCCGUGGUUACCGACAGCAUACGAAACAUCAAGAGCAUGUGGGAGAAAGGCAAUGUAUUCACCUCGCCUGGAAGUGGCGGGAGCACAUUCAAGGAAGCAGCUGUGAUGAAAACAGGCGUGGCAGGCCGCAUCAAUGAGUGGCUGAAUAAAACCCCAGAGAGCAGCAAGACACCAGGAGGAAGGCCAGCGGACCUGAAGCCCGUUGAUGUCACCAACAAGAGGAAUCUAUGGGAAAACAAAGGCACCACUCCAACAAAGAACUCUCAUAGCUAGUUGACCUCACCAUUCAAUCUGGAAUAAGCCUGGAGAGGUGGCAGGCAGAGGGGAGGCCAAGUCAGUCGCCAACGGCAUGGGACACUAAUGUCUUGAAGAACUGAAGCUGGGGACCACAACAAUCCAAGACUUUUACCAAAAAAAAAACAAACAAAUAUUGAUCAUACAACGAACCCCAAGACCACAGCGUUGACAGGAGAGACCCUGUCCUCGCACUGUACUUAACAGCAUCAGCAUAUUUUUGUGAAGUUGCCAAGUGUAGUGCCUUUGCACAAGGAUUUUUGCUUUGUUAAAAAAAAAAAAUGCUGUGAAAUUUGGACUUUUUUAAUUACUAAUCACUUAAGACACAAACGCUCAAAUUUGGAUUUUGUUCUUCAUGCUGCGACAGAGUGGAUGAGUUUAAAGUUUCCACAUUCCAAACAGAUGGGUGAAAUCCGUUCUCUCCCUCUUACAGGUUAUUUUCCAUCUCUUUUUAUUUAUAUUUAAAGCAAAAGCUUCACACAUUGCUAUUUGUUAUCAACGUUCACCUGUUCAGGAUAGAAAUAUAAGCACUUCUAGAAUUUAGCUGAUUUCACUUUAAUUAUGUCUUAAUAAUAGUGCAGCGAUGGUCUGAGUAAUAUUAAGUUAGCACCUGUGAUGUUUUGAAUAUGACCUAUCAUAAUGUAUUAUAUAUUACGUCUGUAUACUCAUAAUAAAAGGUCAUUUUUCCUUUUUUUUAGUAUCCAAAACUAUUCACCAACAGACAGUUCAUUUUGAAGGUGACAGGAGGGCUGAAUAUUCAGAGGGCCAUUACAACUUUUAUUAUCUUUUUUGUCAUUUUUAUUUAAGUUUUAAUGUUUUUUAUCUUUUUCUAGCUGUUAUUUGGAGCUUCAGACAUUCCUCUCUAAAUGCACAAGGUGCCUUUGCUGCUUAAAGCUGUAGGUUUUAUAAUGUAAAGAAUACGUGCAAACCAUUCUGCCUUCACAGUAUCUUUUUUAUUGCGUCUAUGCACACUCUUAUACUCAGCAAUACUUCUCAAAUUGAGGGCAUGCAACGUAAAAUCAGGGUGCCUAUGCAUAUAGCAGGAUAGCGGUGGAAGGAUAUUUACCACUAUAUAAAACCUCUCGCCUUAUGAUUGCAAUGACAACAUUUACCACAUAUGAGCAACAUAAAAAGCCUCUCAGCAGCAGAAUUUUGAGACUUGUGAUUUUUUUAUGUUUAUUUUUUAUGACAUGUUUUUAAGUAGCUCAUAGUGUUUGUGCACCACAAGUUUUGAUAAAAAAGAUGAACGGUUUGUCAGGGCAUUAAAUUGAUUUUUGUUACUGCUCAAAAGUCUGACAAUCACAUUCCAUGGCUCCUCAAAAGAGCAGGGGAGUUUGACCAAAAUAUUGUUGAGAGUGAAUUAAUGUGACAUUUAUGUUUCUUUUUUUAAAUACAGUGGUUUUGUUAAGCUGUAUUUUUUUUACAACCUUGUGUCCAUUUAAUGUUUUUUUCUUCAUUUCCACGUUUAACCAGGCAUUUGUUUGUGUAGCAUUAAGCCUAUGCAAAGCACAUUAUCCGUACCCUCUUUACCAAUGUCAUACAACUUUCCAAGUGUCACAUUGUAUCCUUGACUCAACAACAGCAAUAAAGACAUUGAGGUAUUCCA